GGGGAAUAUUGCACAAUGGGGGAAACCCUGAUGCAGCGACGCCGCGUGGAGGAAGAAGGUUUUCGGAUUGUAAACUCCUGUCGUUAGGGACGAUAAUGACGGUAGCUAAGGAGCAAGCCACGGCUAACUACGUGCCAGCAGCCGCGGUAAUACGUAGGUGGCAAGCGUUGUCCGGAAUUACUGGGUGUAAAGGGAGCGUAGGCGGGAUGCCAAGUCAGCUGUGAAAACUAUGGGCUUAACCUGUAGACUGCAGUUGAAACUGGUAUUCUUGAGUGAAGUAGAGGUUGGCGGAAUUCCGAGUGUAGCGGUGAAAUGCGUAGAUAUUCGGAGGAACACCGGUGGCGAAGGCGGCCAACUGGGCUUUAACUGACGCUGAGGCUCGAAAGUGUGGGGAGCAAACAGGAUUAGAUACCCUGGUAGUCCACACUGUAAACGAUGAUAACUAGGUGUGGGGGGUCUGACCCCUUCCGUGCCGCAGCUAACGCAAUAAGUUAUCCACCUGGGGAGUACGACCGCAAGGUUGAAACUCAAAGGAAUUGACGGGGACCCGCACAAGCAGUGGAUUAUGUGGUUUAAUUCGAAGCAACGCGAAGAACCUUACCAGGUCUUGACAUCCGAUGCAUAGCACAGAGAUGUGUGAAAUCCUUCGGGACAUCGAGACAGGUGGUGCAUGGUUGUCGUCAGCUCGUGUCGUGAGAUGUUGGGUUAAGUCCCGCAACGAGCGCAACCCUUAUUGCCAGUUACUACGUUAAGAGGACUCUGGCGAGACUGCCGUUGACAAAACGGAGGAAGGUGGGGAUGACGUCAAAUCAUCAUGCCCUUUAUGACCUGGGCUACACACGUACUACAAUGGCGUUAAACAAAGAGAAGCAAGACCGCGAGGUGGAGCAAAACUCAAAAACAACGUCUCAGUUCAGAUUGCAGGCUGCAACUCGCCUGCAUGAAGUCGGAAUUGCUAGUAAUCGCGGAUCAGCAUGCCGCGGUGAAUACGUUCCCG
rnacentral:rRNA from 1 species